rnacentral:rRNA from 1 species
UCACGCAUCGCAACCCCCACACCACCUUGCGUGGGAUGGGGAAGGAAGAUGGCUUCCCGUGCCUCACCGGGUGCGGUUGGCCUAAAUUUGGAGCCUAAGGCAUCGAGCUGCCGCGGCGAUAGGUGGUGAACAAGGCCUUGGCCGAGCAAACAACCGGCGCGCAGCUCCUUGACACUACGGGCUCGUAGGACCCUUUGAUGUUGCCUUGUUGCGACACAAACGUUGCGAC